UAAAUAAAAGUUUCAAUUUUUUAUCAAACUUACAGCACUUUUCAUAGUUACAAGAUGGAUUAGAAAAAAAUUAAACUUGAUCUUCAGAAGCCCAGCCUAUAGUGUGUAGUGGGAUGGAUGAAUGUUACGUACUUGAUGAAAUUUUCCAAUCUAAAUAUAAUUAUAGAUUGUUAAAUUUAUUUUGCAAGUAUUACAAAAACAAUUUACUCUGAUUGCUUGUUUUCAUUUUAGCAAAAUAAACUAAUAUUAUGCUAAUGAAUAUAUAGGUUGGUCAUAUUCAUGCUAUAACGACAAAAGACUAAAUAGUCAUUGAUUAUAAGAGUAACUUAUAUGUGGCAAAUGAAAUGCAACUAGAUGGUAGUUCUAGACAGCUAGUCUCACUAGCCAGACCAUUCCCCAGCCUACAGUCUACUAGUCAGAUGGCACAUGAGACUACAGCCAAACUUGCUAUUGUGGGCAGUCUACAAUAAAGACAUCUAAUCAGGACAAGUAGUACAUGUAUCAGUCCCAAUACAAUAUGUGCUCUGAAAUAAUCCAUAAUCAUGACAGUAGUAGAUCUCAAGGUAAUUGGAAUAUAGAAAAAUUUGACUGCAGAUAAUGCAACUUCAGUCAUUAAGAACUGGAGGCUAAUAAACAUCAAAGUCAGAUUAAAAGCAGUGACAACCUUGCCAUUUGGCUGCAGGAUAUGACAUUUUACCAACUUUUUUAAUUUGGCUGGAGCUACAAUACCGAGCGAUCGUAAGAUGGAUGGCUUUGACCUUGCACCUAUCCUAUAUAAUAAACAAGAACUGAAAGAACAAUAAUACCAUACUUCCCUGAAAAUACUGAUCCCAGUAUAGGCCCUUAAGAUGGAAGCACUACAAAGCUCAUUUCUAUACAAAAGGUGGUGAUUCUCCUCCUGAUCAUUAUGAUGUUCUGUGUCGGAACACAACCGAACUAACAGCACACGAUCCUCCUCUCCCCUUUAACCUCUGACUGAUCCAGGAGAGAGAGAUCCACUGACUGCAUGAAAAUGAUUCAAUGUAGUAUUACCUUCUUGAGAAGAUGGAAGAGCUUUGUACUGACUUUAUGAAUGACAUGGAGUGGCAUACUUCUUUUGAAGAAGAUGGGGAAGAUGAUUCCAUCAGAACUUGUCAUAAUUAUAGUUCUUUGUUUUGCUAUCAUUAAUUUAUGGACUUUUAUUAUUUUGUUUAUUCAAGUAUCAUGCAUGUAUUAAUUAUCAUCCACUCGAAAAGAAGAGGAAUUAGAAAAGAG